rnacentral:rRNA from 1 species
UACGAAGGGAGCUAGCGUUGUUCGGAAUCACUGGGCGUAAAGCGCACGUAGGCGGAUUUGUUAGUGAGGGGUGAAAUCCCGGGGCUCAACCUCGGAACUGCCUUUCAUACUGCAGAUCUCGAGUCCGAUAGAGGUGGGUGGAAUUCCUAGUGUAGAGGUGAAAUUCGUAGAUAUUAGGAAGAACACCGGUGGCGAAGGCGGCCCACUGGAUCGGUACUGACGCUGAGGUGCGAAAGCGUGGGGAGCAAACAGG